AUAGAAGAACAAGGAGAGGCCAAAGGGAUAUUAGAGGUCUUUCAGAAGCAGUUCAUUCAGGUAUGUGGCAAAUCAUGUGACCUCCAGUGAACUCAUUUAUAAUGGGUUGAAAAUAUCCAAAGAUGGGAAGACUGCUGGGAAGAUAGCAGGAGAUGCUGUAAGUGCAGCAGUACUUCCUGCCUCAUUGUUCUUUGACCUUUUCUUCAUUUAAAGUAGUGUUGGUACCUGGAGCAAGGCUGCUAGAUGAGCAACAUAAGAACUAUUC
rnacentral:lncRNA from 1 species